UCCUAUCUUUCUCUAGGGAUAUGCACUACUUUCUGUAAUUCAUCUUUUGAAUCGGAUUCCCUUUAAAUCCGUUCAUACCACUCCAUAUGAGUUAUGGUAUGGUAGGAAGCUAACUAUUGGGUACCUUAAGAUUUGGAGAUGUUCGGCCCAUGUCAAGUGACAACUCACUGUGCUUUAGUACUGGACUAACUAAAUUUCUAAUUCAGGGA
rnacentral:lncRNA from 1 species